AAAACCAGAAAAACAAUGGCUUCUGGCUGCAAAUGUGGUGAUAAUUGCUCCUGUGGAGAUAGCUGCAAUUGCCUCUCUGGGACCGUUAAAGAGACUACCUCCCUAAUCAACAUGAACGACGGGUGCGACUGCUGCGACAGCAGCUGCUCGUGUGACGGGUGUGGCUGCUGCUGAUGAGCGAGCUAGCUGGAGAGGAGAUGGAUGAAGCCCUUAAACAACAAAGCUUGUGAAAUGGAAUAAAGUUAUGGAUCAAUAUGCAAAGUUCAUCUGUUUUUGCUUCUUUGUUUUGUACUUUGUUUGAGUCUAUGAUGGCUGCUUGAAAUCUAGUGUGAAGAAUUAUGUAAGUGCUUUGUUGUGGGCUGUGGGUGCCUUGUUUUAUAUAUCAAGAUUGAGUUUGAAUAACUUGAA